rnacentral:rRNA from 1 species
GCCCCAGAAAAAAUCUGAGGUGUAACCUGCCCAGUGGUUUUUAAUAAAUAGAAAUAAUAAUUCUUAAAAAAAACUAAAAGGACGCGGUAACCUUGACCGUGAUAAUGUAGCAUAAUCAUUCGCCAUUUAAUUGAUGGAUAGUAUGAAUGGUUGAACGAAUAUUCCCCUGUCUUAGAAAACACCAUAAAAAAUUGAAAUAAUAGUUAAGAUGCUAUUUUUUACUGUAAGACGAAAAGACCCUAUAGAGCUUAACUAUAAUCUUUUUUCAUAAAAAGAAAAAAAUUCUAAUACUAAAAAGAUUGGUAGUUUAGUUGGGGCGACUGUCUUCUAUAAUAAACGAAGACAAGCAAUGUUAAUAAAAAACUUAUUGUAUAACAAAAAUGUUUAACAAUUAUAAAAAUAGGCUAUAAUGACCCGUUAAUACUUUAUAAAAAGAAUAACGAUUAAUUAAUAAAAGCUACCUUAGGGAUAACAGGAUAAUUUCAUUUCAGAGUCCAUAUCGAAAAUGAAGUUUGUCACCUCUAUGUUGAAUUAAGAUAUCCUGAUAAUGCAGCAGUUAUCAAAGGUAGGUCUGUUCGACCUUUAAAAUCUU